GUUUUUCUAAUACAAAUAGUAUAAGUGACUUCCAAUCACUAAAUCUCAAUAAAGCCUGAGGAAAAACA
rnacentral:tRNA from 1 species